rnacentral:lncRNA from 1 species
AGGCAGCCAGACCCUCCUACCCCUUAGAAAGCAAGGUUCUAGCAGCAUCUCUGUAGGGGUUCAUGGUAGGGGCGAGGGCAAUGGCUCUGCCUGCCCAGUGCCUCAGCUCAGUGCCCAGAUCCCUGCCGCUUAUCCCUCCAGACCUCGUCUGGGCCCUGCCUUUGUUCUCAUGCAGCAACUGUCUCCAGGAGAUGGAGAUGACAUCAGAAUAGCCGGAGCAGGUGUGAUCCAAGGUUCUGCAAGGAAAAGGAAGGAUGGUGUGGAGUGUGUUGCUGCAGGGAAGGCUUCCCAGUGGAGGUGGCUCCUGAGCUCUAGGAAAAGGGAAGCCCGCUGGAGUCACAAGCCCCAUCCCAGACUCUCCAACGCUGGACCUGCAGCGCCCAGCCCUGCCCUGGUGCUACCACCUGCCAGCUCUGUGCCUGCCCCUCCACUAGAUCAUGACUUCGGCUCCAGCUCCCUCACUCUCCAUGCCUCUCACUUGCGGGUUGUGCCCUGCUCAGCUGGCCAGACUUUGGCCCCCUCCCUACCUGGAUUUGUGAAGCCCCAAAUUUCAUCUCCCCCACCACACUUAUUCACAGCCUCCGCCUGCUGACAUACCCAGGCAAGACUCCCUUCCCCUCCAGGCAGCCAAACUUCAGUUCGAAUCUUCUGGCUCUUACCAGACCCCUGAUGAAUCCCAGGAUCUUCGCAGGUGGUCCCAGGGCCUCUUUGAACCACAGUUUUACUUAUCUGAAAAAUAAAAAGGCAUGA